rnacentral:siRNA from 1 species
AAAGCCUAAGUAGUGUUUCCGUG